GAUCAUGGCUCAGAUUGAACGCUGGCGGCAUGCCUUACACAUGCAAGUCGAACGGCAGCGGGCCUUCGGGUGCCGGCGAGUGGCGAACGGGUGAGUAAUGCAUCGGAACGUGCCAUUGAGUGGGGGAUAACGUAGCGAAAGUUACGCUAAUACCGCAUAUUCUGUGAGCAGGAAAGCAGGGGACCGCAAGGCCUUGCGCUCUUUGAGCGGCCGAUGUCAGAUUAGCUAGUUGGUGAGGUAAAGGCUUACCAAGGCGACGAUCUGUAGCGGGUCUGAGAGGAUGAUCCGCCACACUGGAACUGAGACACGGUCCAGACUCCUACGGGAGGCAGCAGUGGGGAAUUUUGGACAAUGGGCGCAAGCCUGAUCCAGCCAUGCCGCGUGAGCGAAGAAGGCCUUCGGGUUGUAAAGCUCUUUCGGCCGGGAAGAAAUCGCAUGGGUUAAUACCCUGUGUGGAUGACGGUACCGGAAUAAGAAGCACCGGCUAACUACGUG
rnacentral:rRNA from 1 species